UACGGGAGGCAGCAGUGGGGAAUUUUCCGCAAUGGGCGAAAGCCUGACGGAGCAAUACCGCGUGAGGGAGGAAGGCUCUUGGUUUGUAAACCUCAAAACUUAGGGAGGAAAAAAAUGACGGUACCUAAUAUAAGCAUCGGCUAACUCCGUGCCAGCAGCCGCGGUAAUACGGAGGAUGCAAGCGUUAUCCGGAAUCAUUGGGCGUAAAGAGUCCGUAGGUGGCAAUUAAAGUCUGUGGUCAAAGACCGGAGCUUAACUCUGGAAAGGCAAUGGAAACUGAAGAGCUAGAGUUCGGGAGGGGUAGAGGGAAUUCCCAGUGUAGCGGUGAAAUGCGUAGAGAUUGGGAAGAACACCAGUGGCGAAGGCGCUCUGCUGGACCGAAACUGACACUGAGGGACGAAAGCUAAGGUAGCGAAAGGGAUUAGAUACCCCUGUAGUCUUAGCGGUAAACGAUGGAUACUAGGUGUAGUCUGUAUCGACCCAGACUGUGCCGAAGCUAACGCGUUAAGUAUCCCGCCUGGGGAGUACGCACGCAAGUGUGAAACUCAAAGGAAUUGACGGGGACCCGCACAAGCGGUGGAGUAUGUGGUUUAAUUCGAUGCAACGCGAAGAACCUUACCAAGACUUGACAUCCGGCCAAGUCCGCUGAAAGGUGGACGUGCCUAAGGGAAGGCCGUGACAGGUGGUGCAUGGCUGUCGUCAGCUCGUGUCGUGAGAUGUUGGGUUAAGUCCCGCAACGAGCGCAACCCUCGUCCUUAGUUGCCAGCAUUAAGUUGGGGACUCUAGGGAGACUGCCGGUGACAAACCGGAGGAAGGUGGGGAUGACGUCAAGUCAGCAUGCCCCUUACGUCUUGGGCUACACACGUACUACAAUGGUUAGGACAAAGGGCAGCAAACACGCAAGUGUAAGCGAAUCUCAUCAAACCUAGCCUCAGUUCAGAUUGCAGGCUGCAACUCGCCUGCAUGAAGUAGGAAUCGCUAGUAAUCGCAGGUCAGCAUACUGCGGUGAAUCCGUUCCCGGGUCUUGUACACACCGCCCGUCACACCAUGGAAGUUGGUCAUGCCCGAAGUCGUUACCCUAACCGCUUGCGGAGGGGGAUGCCGAAGGUGGGACUAGUGACUGGGGUGAAGUCGUAACAAGGUAGCCGUACUAGUACGAUA
rnacentral:rRNA from 1 species